AUGCUGCGCCACAUGAACGUGGAGGUCUUCAGCGAUCAGACCUUCUACAGGUAUCAGAAGAGCCGCCUGUUCCCUGCAAUCGACGAAGUCUACCUGCAAGAACAACAGGAUCUGAUCAGACAGCUGGAAGACCAGGAUGUUGACAUCACCAGCGAUGGCAGAUUCGACUCUCCUGGGUUCUCUGCCAAGUUCCUGACCUACACUGCGCAUGUUCAGCAGAUCAACAAGAUCCUCCACUCCAUCCAAGUCCAGCUAGGAGAGUCGGAGCGAGCCAUGGCAAGUGUCAACAUGGAGAAGGAGGGCCUCAUCAAGCUGCUGGAAUUCUUCAAGGAGAAACGUAUCCAUGUAAAAUCCUUGGGCACUGACCGCCACCCUGCCAUACGAAAACACAUGGAGGUGCACGAACCUGGGACCGCCCACUACUUCGACAUUUGGCACAUCUCCAAAAGUGUGAAGAAAAAGCUGAACGCAGCACGAAAACAAGCUGGAUGUCAACCGCUUGAAGAGUGGACGAGGCGACCACCAACCACAUGUACUGGUCUGCCAUGGCUGCGGGAGGCAACAGGGAGCUGCUCGCCGAGAUCUGGCUGAGCAUGCAGAACCACGUCAUCGACAAGCACACUGGUCAUGGGGGCAGCUACAUGCGUUGUGUGCACUAGGAAAUUCUCGAUGCCACAAAAAUGUGGAUGGAUCCCAACUCUUCGGCCUACAGUCACUACUAGCAGAUCACUGGGAACAAGCGCCUCCUAAAGGACCUGGCCCAGAUGCCCCCCCACGGCCAGACAUUCGCUCUGGAAUCCUUCCACAGCGUCCUGAUUGACAUCGCUCCCAAGUCCCGGGCAUUCACUCCAGAAGGCAUGCGUGCAAGGACCCGAGUGGCAAUCUUGCAUUUCAAUGAGAACGCUGAUCGCUGCCAAGCUGAGACUCAAGAGGGCAAGCCACGCUGGGCGGUGAAAACAUCCAAAGCACGCAAGGGACACCACAUAGCUUGUCCCGUCAAGACAGCACCCACCUACAGCUACGUUCACAAGCUCGUGGAGGAGGUAAUCGUAAUCAAUAGUCGAUGGCGGUGUCUUGCUACUGCGGCGAAGGCCAGCACAGACAUCUUUCCGGCGCCCAUGACUGCGGCCUUUGAUGGCCUUCAAAGGAGGCGUUAGUGGAAGCACGGAGGUCCCGCUUCGGCCGUAGUCUGCAGUAA